UGGUGGAGUGAUUUGUCUGGUUUAUUCCGAAAACGAACGAGACCUCAGCCUACUAAAUAGUUGUAUUAUUUCUCUCCGAAAUGAUGUUCAACUUCUUAGAGGGACUUUUGGUGUUUAGCCAAGGAAGCUUGAGGCAAUAACA
rnacentral:rRNA from 1 species